AGGGCCCCGUUGGGGCACUGGCGGGCCCGAGCCGUGUCGCGCCGCCCCCAGCGAGACCGCCUCCCUGUCCCAUUCACGUCCUCUGGCUGUCGCCCUCUCUGGUGACGCCCAUCACUGCAAAGACCCUUUUCCUUCAUCGGUGUUUGCUGUUCUUCCUGCCAGUGCGUGUUGCUUUCACUUACACUUGCCACAGCCAGCCUCGUGAGUGCCUAGCCUAUUGGAUAUCACUGUCACCUACACAGGACAGUCAUUACCUUUCUACUAAUACUUUGUUUUUAAUUUCACAUUAAUUUCCAUAUUGUAUAAAUGACUAGAAAAAACUUGAGCCCCUGCCCCUGUAUAAUCAUGUGCACGUCCCUGUUCUAGUUCCAAGGUGAAUCUUCACUGCUCAUGUUCUCCUCAGAAGCAGUCACCUCACUCCCCUCAGGUUACUGUACACAUGCACCAACUGCCUGCUUCAGGUUUGGAUGGAGCUUCAUGGUUGUCUUUUGGAGAAAUGAGCAGUCAAGUUAUGUUUGAAAUUUGAUUUUUUUCAGGGGCAAAAGGAGCCUCUGCAUUCUUGUCAAAUAUGUAAAUAGCAUGUUUUUGCAGGUGCUAAAAAACAGACUCUGAGUGUGUGUGUGUGUGUGUGUGUGUGUGUGUGUCUCUCUGUGUGUGUGUAUAUCUUGCAGUACUCUGAGAAGAAUAAUAAGCAUAUUUCUGAGGUGAAUUUUGAAGAUUCAUCUGAGAGUUAGGAGGGCUGAUUGAAGGUCAAAGCUUAGAUCCAUUAGGUAUAAAUAGAAAAAGCAUUAAAAUAUGUUAGGAUUAUGGCAUUUAACAAAUGUGUGCCUUUCAGCGGCCAUAACUACUUUGUCUGCUGUCAAUAGAAAACUCCCUUUGGCGCCACUCAAUGGCCAAAACGACUUUUAAGAAUGUGGAUUUUUGGGUCCUCUUUGGCGCCCCCUAGAACGUAGACCGUGGGGUGCAGCGUCAUGAUUUUUACAACUUUGAAUGGCCAUGGGGUGUAGAUUGGCCUGAGCAAAUUUGGUGCCGAUGGGGCGAAAGCUUUAGGAGGACUUAGCCACAUUCCAAUGUGUGCGAAUCAGCAAAAAAUGGGAAAUAGCCCUUUAACCGUACAUUUGACAGAUACGUGCGCAUUGACUUUUUCGUAGAUCUUAUUGAGAUACACGUGAUUGUCAAAUUUUGUGUCAAUAUGACAAAGCGUACAGGCGUGACACUCAACAAUGUGUAUUUUCACCUUAGGGGACAAGAAAAAAUGGACUUUUUUCUCCUGCCAUGGGGGGGCGCUCUUUUGGGGAGUAAAAAUUCCUUCACAAAUGUGUUGAUGGCUGGACAUUGCAUCAUCCUAGAAAACUUGGAGGCCAGUGAGGACAAAAUAAAAAAGUUAUAAGACUUUUAAAUAUGUGGAUUUUAGGGUUGUUUUUGGCGCCCCCUAGAACCUAAACCGUGGGGUGCAGCGUCAUGAUUUGAACAACUUUUAAUGGCCAUGGGGUGUAGAUUGGCCUGAGCAAAUGUGGUGCCGGUGGAACCAAAGCCUUCGGAGGAGUUAGCGAAAUUCCAAUGUGUGCGUAUCGGCAAAAAAUGCGGAAUAACCCUUUAACCGUACAUUUGACAGAUACGCGCGCAUGGACUUUUUUGUAGAUCUUAUUGAGAGACAUGUGUGUGUCAAUUUUUGUGUCAUUUUGCCAAAGCGUACAGGCGUGACACUCAACAAUGUGUAUUUUCACCUUAGGGGACAAGAAAAAAUGGACUUUUUUCUCCUGCCAUGGGGGGGCGAUCUUUUGGGGAGUAAAAAUUCCUUCACAAAUGUGUUGAUGGCUGGACAUUGCAUCAUCCUAGAGAACUUGGAGGCCAGUGAGGACAAAAAUAAAAAGUUAUAAGACUUUUAAAUAUGUGGAUUUUAGGGUUAUUUUUGGCGCCCCCUAGAACCUAAACCGUGGGGUGCAGCGUCAUGAUUUGAAUAACUUUUAAUGGCCAUGGGGUGUAGAUUGGCCUGAGCAAAUGUGGUGCCGGUGGAACGAAAGCCUUCGGAGAAGUUAGCGAAAUUCCAAUGUGUGCGGAUCGGCAAAAAAUGCGAAAUAACCCUUUAACCGUACAUUUGACAAAUACGCCCGCACUGACUUUUUUGUAGAUCUUAUUGAGAUACAUAUGUGUGUCAAUUUUUGUGUCAAUAUGACAAAGCGUACAGGCGUGACAGUCAAUAGUGUGAAUUUACACCUUAGGGGGCGCUAUGGAGCCAUUUUGCAUUUUAUUGUUUGGGCGACUUCAGAAUAUCGAAUUUUUCACCAGGCCCGGUCGUCCUGCCAAAUUUCAUGAGUUUUCGCCAGUGGGAAGUGGGCCAUUUUCCAGUUCAAAGGGGAGGAAAAAGAAGAAAGAAAGAAAGAAAGAAACAAAGAAAAACCACUACAGGAACAACAGGGCUCUACGCCCGGAUGCUCUGCAGCUGGCUCGGGCCCUAAAAACAAAGAAAAACCACUACAAGAACAACAGGGCCUACGCCCGGCUGCUCUGCAGCUGGCUCGGGCCCAUAAGAAACUAGGGCCCCGUUGGGGCACUGGCGGGCCCGAGCCGUGUGCCCCCCCC